rnacentral:rRNA from 1 species
AUUGACCUCGGAUCAGGUAGGGAUACCCGCUGAACUUAAGCAUAUCAAUAAGCGGAGGAAGAAUGAUUCCUCUAAAUGACCAAGAUCCUUCCGCUUAUUGAUAAGCGGGGGGGAACUUGGGUCAUUUAAAAAGAAAUGAAAUCCUCCCAAAAAGGACCAAGAUCCUCCGCUUAUCAUAAAGGGGGGGGGGGAUUCUUUGGUCAUUUUUAAAGAGGAAGAAAAUCCUCCUAAAAUGACCAAGAUCCUCCGCCUUAUUGAUAAAGAGGGGGGGGGAUCCUUGGGUCAUUUAGAGGGAAGAAAAUCCUCUAAAUGACCAAGAUCCUCCGCUUAUUAAUAAAAGCGGGAGGAUCUUGGUUCAUUUAGAGGAAGUACAUCCUCUAAAUGACCAAGAUCCUCCGCUUAUCAAUAAAGGCGGAGGAUCUUGGUCAUUUAGAGGAUGACAUCCUCUAAUGACAGAUCUCGCUUAUCGAUAAAGGGGGAGGAAUCUGUCAUUAGAGGAUGUACAUUCUCUAAUUGACAGAUCUCCGCUAUUGAUAAAGCGGGAGAAUCUGGUUCAUUUAGAGAUGCAUCUCUAAAUUGACCAGGAUCUCGCUAUGUAAGCGGAGAUCUGGAUCAUAGAGAAGUACAUUCCUUCUAUG